rnacentral:rRNA from 1 species
UACAGAGGGCCCGAGCGUUGUUCGGAUUCACUGGGCGUAAAGGGUGCGUAGGUGGUGAGGUAAGUCGGAUGUGAAAGCUCCGAGCUCAACUCGGAAAUGGCAUUGGAAACUACCUUGCUGGAGGGUUUGAGGGGGGACUGGAAUUCUCGGUGUAGCAGUGAAAUGCGUAGAUAUCGAGAGGAACACCAGUGGCGAAGGCGAGUCCCUGGAAAACACCUGACACUGAGGCACGAAAGCUAGGGGAGCAAACAGG